GUUUUAGUAGCUUAACCAUAAAGCACUGGUCUUGUAAGCCAGAGACGGGGAAUUCCCUCCCCCUAAAACA
rnacentral:tRNA from 1 species